CUGUGAGUGGUUGGGGAGUUUCGGCGCGCGGGCAACAGGUGGCGAGGUAUUAGCCGAGUGCCGCCGAGGAUCGCCGAGGACGCGAGCUGAGGGGCAGUCUGCAGUUGGGGGACGAGAGACCGCCCAUUUCUUUCUUUGUUCGGUGAUUAUUCGGGGAUUUGUGCAGGCGUCAUUGUUUAUUGACGAUAAAUCGAGAAUUCGAGGGCUUCCUUCGGGGCUGGAAUAGUCAACAUCAAUAAUUGAAUUGUUGAGACAUUGGAGGAAUGUGGAUGCGACUGUUGGCUUCGCAUUCUGAGACAGUUUGGGGACAUUUCAUUCCCCUUGUAAAGGACGACGGGUACAUCUCGAAUUAUUGCGUGAUGGGGAGAAGCAGAUCAUGUUGUCUUCCGUGGAUGAUACGGUGAGAAAGAACAUCCUUAAAAAGUUGCGGCUACGAUCGUAUUUGGAUUCCACGAAGUGAAUUCUCGAAAAGAAAAGAAAGAGAGAAGCCUCGUCUUUUCUUUAUCCUCGAGACUGAGACUGGUUUUCCUCGGUACAGGCACACGAACCGGUGUUGUUGGGAUGCAUGCAGAGAAGACCCAUGACUGGUGAAAAAAGCUGAUAGGGGUUAGUUGGCGCCAAGGAGAUCCCUCAUCUAUAUCCACACUUUUCCAUUGCAAGUCCAUCGAUGGUGGAGAAAAACUCUGGGGCCGUAUAUUUCACUCGAUUCAACACAGCUGACUGAGCCCCUGGAGACGCGUACGGAAAAGGUCAGGGGUCAUUUAUACUUCAG